rnacentral:snRNA from 1 species
AUAAUAAAGUGGUGUUUCCCUAGGGUGAGUCUCACCCCUUGCACUCCAGGUGUGCUGACCCCUGCGAUUUCCCCACGCAUAGGAAACUCAACUGCACAAUUUGUGGCAGCGCGGGACUGCAUUCACGGUCUCCCUGG